CCUACGGGUGGCAGCAGUGAGGAAUAUUGGUCAAUGGGCGCGAGCCUGAACCAGCCAAGUAGCGUGAAGGAUGACUGCACUACGGGGUGUAAACUUCUUUUAUAAAGGAAUAAAGUGAGGCACGUGAGCAUUUUGGUAUGUACUUUAAGAAUAAGGAUAGGCUAAAUCCGUGCCAGAAGCAGCGGGAAUACGGAGGAUCCGAGCGUUAUCCGGAUUUAUUGUGUUUAAAGGGAGCGUAGAUGGGUUGUUAAGUCAGUUGUGAAAGUUUGCGGUUCAACCGUAAAAUUGCAAUUGAUACUGGCAGUCUUGAGUACAGUUGAGGUAGGCGGAAUUCGUGGUGUAGCGGUGAAAUGCUUAGAUAUCACGAAGAACUCCGAUUGCGAAGGCAGCUUACUAAACUGCCACUGACAUUGAUGCUCGAAAGUGUGGGUAUCAAACAGGAUUAGAUACCCGUGUAGUC
rnacentral:rRNA from 1 species